GACGAACGCUGGCGGCGUGCUUAACACAUGCAAGUCGAACGGAAAGGCCCUGCUUUUGUGGGGUGCUCGAGUGGCGAACGCGUGAGUAACACGUGAGUAACCUGCCCUUGUCUUUGGGAUAACUUCAGGAAACUGGGGCUAAUACCGUAUAGGAGCUCCUGCUGCAUGGUGGGGGUUGGAACGUUUCGGCGGUUGGGGAUGGACUCGCGGCUUACCAGCUUGUUGGUGGGGUAGUGGCUUACCAAGGCUUUGACGGGUAGCCCGCCUGGGAGGGUGACCGGCCACAUGGGGACUGAGAUACGGCCCAGACUCCUACGGGAGGCAACAGGGGGGAAUAUUGCACAGUGGGCGGAAGCCUGAUGCAGAAACGCCGCGUGCGGGAUGACGGCCUUCGGGUUGUAAACCGCUGUCGCUUGUGACGAAGCGUGAGUGACGGUAAUGGGUAAAGAAGCACCGGCUAACUACGUG
rnacentral:rRNA from 1 species